UAAAAUAGUCUGAUAUAAGAAACCAAUGUGACAGGCCUAGAGAUGGGAGGUUCUAGGUUCAAAUCUGACCUCAGACACUUCCCAGCUGUGUGACCCUGGGCAAGUCACUUGACCCCCAUUGCCUAGCCCUUACCACUCUUCUACCUUGGAGCCAAUACACAGUAUUGACUCCAAGAUGGAAGGUAAAGGGUGAAAGAAGAUAAGAAGAAAGAAAGAAAGAUAUGAAGAAAGAAGGAAAGAAGGAAGGAAGGAAAGAAGAAAGAAGGAAGGAAAGAGGAAAGAAAGAAGAAAGAAGGAAGGAAGGAAAGAGGAAAGAAAGAAGAAAGAAGGAAGGAAGGAAAGAGGAAAGAAAGAAGAAAGAAAGAAGGAAGGAAAGAAAGAAGAAAGAAAGAAGAAAGAAAGAAGGAAGGAAAGAAAGAAGAAAGAAAGAAGAAAGAAAGAAGGAAGGAAGGAAGGAAGAAAGAAAGAAAGAAAGAAAGAAAGAAAGAAAGAAAGAAAGAAAGAAGGAAGGAAGGAAGGAAGAAAAAGGGGAUAGAGGGGGGAAGGGAGAGAGGGAGAGAGAGAGAGAGAGAGAGAGAGAGAGAGAGAGAGAGAGAGAGAGAGAGAUGGAGGAAAGGGAGGGUUUGUAACUCUGGCUUAC
rnacentral:lncRNA from 1 species